AAGUCGAGCAGCGUCGGGGGAUCGUCGCGACAUCUAGCGGUCAGCUUCCGUUCCACCACGUGAACUUGGGAAUAUGUUCGUUUGCACUUUGUGCACCCGGUUCGCUUCUUUUUCCUUUUUUUUCGAACGCCCGCGAAAAUUGAAUACAAUUUUCUUAUUAGUUUAAAAGUUUUAUUUAUGUUUGCUUUCGAUUAAUUAUGUAAAAUCGUUUUGUAGUACAUAAUAUUUACAAAUUCAAUGAAAUUACGAAUUAAAUGAAAUCUUUGUAUGUACUAUAUAAUUUAAAAAAAUUUAAUAAAUAUUCGUGCAAAAGUUUAUUUCUUAGAAAACCUUACAUAAAUUAAUUAACCAUUGGUAAAUAUUUUGUAUAAAUGAUUUAUGUUAAAGAAAAAGAGAAGGAAACUGUAUUAGCCUAUCACGUUAGUUUUGGGGAUUUCUCAGACGUUUAUUUGUCAUUACAAAAUAUGAAACAUUAUAAGAAUUGUCUGAUAAAAGACACUUGCAUUUGUUUUACGUCUCAAAAACAAAGUAUGAUGAGCCAGUAUUGGUGACCUUUUUCUAUUCUUUUCAGAGAAAUAAAAAAAAUUAAAUCAUUAGGUUAAAAAAAAAAAUCUCUAGAUUAACUUCCUUCGGUCGACGUAUGAAACGCGAGAACGUCUGGUGCCGCGGGAGAGCUGGGAGAAUGAAUCUUCUCAGGUUGGCCGCACUGAUGUUUACCUACCGAGAGAGUAUCGGGCAGACGGCGGCACAGAUGCGGUGGCAUGUAUACGUUAAAACAAUUGCAGUAGAGUUAGUCACUUUUACUCGGAAUUUACUCGAUCACAGUCAGAUCGCGUACGAUUACGUUUUCUAAUCGCGUGCUCUCCGGGAUUUUGUAUCGUUCGAAGAAAUAUUGUAUUUCUCGUGCGGUUAACGGCAGCUAACCUCUCGGCGGACGCUACUGUUACCGGAAACUCAGUUAUCGCUCAAAGAUGCAAAUGCAGACAGAGAGCUCACGGAAGAACGGAGGGCAGAGCACAGAGGGAGGGAGAAAGAGAGAGAGAGAGAAAGAAAGAGAGAGACUCGUUAUCCGGAUCGCAAAACAGUCGGAGCACAAUGCAAAGAAGCAGGUAUCUCUGAUUGUAUAUUUAUAUAUAUAUAUAUAUAUGUUACUUGGAUUACCGUGUGUGAAAGCAUUAAUUUGGUAGGCAGUUUUUAGAAGCAAAGGACACAGGCACAUGCACAUUCUGUUUAUUAAUCGGGACAAUGUAAAACAAAACUGUUGUUAGAGUCAGUAUUCACAUACGCAUUCAAUUAGGUCGCCUUAAGUUGAUCGGCUUAAGAGGAGCGCCGCCUUAACAAUUAACGCACGCGCACACACACACACACACACACACAUACAGACACACACAUACGCGCCUGGGGAAUUCGUGUGCGCGUAUAUAUAUCAUGUACGUAUAUAUAUAUAUAUCUGUACAUAUAUGCAUACGUGUGCACACACAGAGUGUCUUCUGUGUCUACCGGAACAUUCCCUCCAAUUAUGGGCUCCUUCGCGAACUCGCUCGCGCAGUCGACUUUCGCUCGGGCAGGAAAAUUCGAUCAAAUAUUUGGCAAGUAAAGUUGAAAUUUUCGUUAAGGCGAAACUCGUUUUAAAUUAGCUGAAAAAAAUUAGCUGAAAAAAAAAGCCAGGAGUGCAAGAGUUUUAAUUCGAAGAAAGCCUUUAAUCUCGACUGUCAGGAGACAUCGUAAUUAGAUCCCGUCAAAUUUUCAAGUCAAGGGCGGAAAUCCCGGCAACGAAUCCCUAGCAGCAAGAGGAGGCCUUCUCGACACGACGUGACAACCUGUGCGUCUGUGUAUGUGUGCGUGUGUGUGUGUGUGUGUGUGUGCAUAUAUACCAGCACACGACACGCAGUUACGUGUGUAUAUGCACCUUUUACUUGUACUUACAUUUACAGACAUACACAUACAAAUGAGUAUACAGCGCGUUUUCCCCGAGUUUCAUCGGCGAACUUUCGUGAUCUAUCCGGAGCACUAAAACGGAACUUUUUAAUGGGCACUCUCGCUCGCGCGAGUAGCCCGCGCCACACUGAAAUUUCGUCAAGGGGGGAGGGGGCGGCUGCAUGUCGAACGACUUAAAACAAACGUAGACAUUCUCCUGCAAGAUCGAUAAUUACAGGCGCGAUUUCCAUAUCGAUUUUAUACUCCGCAGCUUCCCCGUCGAGCAAGGGUACCUAAUAAAAAUGAGAAAGCCCCGAAGAGAUCGUACGUCGUUCGUCGACAGGAUUUAGUGAGUGAAUGAAAGAGAGAGAGAGAGAGAGAGAAAGAGAGAGAAUCGCCCCGUAUAUUUAUAUAUAUAUACACACAUCUCUCUCGACUUGCGCAUCUCGACGCGACUGCGUUUCUCGUUUCACGCAUAAUCUCGUUUCUUCGUCGUGUAUAUGCACGUGCUCGCGCGCGCGCGUUAUACGUGUGAGCGUUUUUUUUUUUUUUGUAUACAUAUAUGACGUGUGUUCGUGCUCGUGUAUUAAAUAUAUAUAUAUAUUUGUAUAUGUGGGGCACAUAUCAUCGUAAACUCUCUUUACACGUACAUCAGGAGAACUGGCGGCGGAGUGUUCGACGGAGCUUCGCGGAUUUCGCCUUCUCGCGCAGUCUCUCUCUUGUCCAGUUAUCCUCUUAAGACUAAGUCUGCGUUAAUUUAUCGGGGUGUACACAGGGGAUAGGGUUGUUAGAAGUAGUAUCCGCCGCUCGUACAGUCCGGUAUGGUAUACAUCGAUUGUGACGGCGCGGCACUGAGAAGCGCACCCGUUUCUAUUCUACACUGUACAUUCUUUUCACUGCGAUUCUUCUUGCUUCCUUGUAUUUUUAGACCGCCGAGGAUGGUGCGCCGAUCGAUCGAUGGCGCACGGAAGUUGAUCUUAACGAUCAGCAAAUUGCUGUAUUCUCGACGCGACACGACACCGUAUUUCUCGACACGCGAAUUUACUAAUAUAAUUUUGUUAUCAAUUUUUACAGUUUAAAAGGAUAAUUUUGAGUUGUAAAUCAAUUUCCGUGUAACCGCACAUCAUCCGUCGAUCAUCCUCCGCGGGAAGCGAUUAGUACCUUCCGACUUUCCCAGACACCAAACGUCGUCUUUGGAGAUAUGCAUCUCGAUAGGGCAUCUCGUACUUGUACUUCGAGUAAGAUCCCUCUUAGGCCGAGUGAUUACCGAUAAUUACAUCUCGCGUGUGGUAUCGUGCGAUUCCCGAGGAACGUAACUCACGAUAUCGAAAUACCUUCCCUCCACGUUUCCGUCAGCGUGUUCGCGAAACACUUUUUGCCAAAAGAAUAACUUGGGCUUGUUAACUUCGAAUUUGUCGACCACAUCGCCGAGAAACGCCUGUCGAAAUUAUUGACUAUCGUAAACGUUAAAUCGCGUCCACGCGAGCUCUCAUGUGUGGUUGACGUCUAGUUUAUCGCCAACGAGCACGUCGUAUCGACUUUAUUAUUGACGGAAACGUCACGCACCCGUGUUUCUCAGUCUACGUUAGUAGUUUCCGCGAGGAAAAUAUCGCGGACUAUCGAUAGCACGUUAGUGUACCCGACGGAAUAGUAGCGAAAAAGCAGGCGGAGAGAAAGAGAGAGAAAGAAGGAGAGAGAAAGAGAGAGAGAAAGAGACGGAGGGGUGGGUGUAUCUACUUGUUAUUCGUGACGGCCAGUCCCGGAAACGGUUUUACUACUGUUCGGCGAAAACGUGAAAUUUUCUCCGCGACCGAUGCUCACGAUAUCACCAACGUUUCCCACGACUCUCGUAAAAGGUUGGCUUUGCCGAAUGUGUAAGGGGAACACACCGAAUACACCCCGACCUUUCCCGCCAUCCUCCUCCCCCCCCCCCUCCUUCCUAUUUCUUUCUCUCGUUUGCCACGCCUCGACUGCUGCUUCUUUAUGCAAGCUAUAUGCAAGCGAUGAUUUAAAACGCAUCCAGCUGUUCUGCGCGAGGGAGAAGCCGCUUUUAGCGAGUUUAAUUGUUAAUCAAAUCGCGCUCUUCUUAUCAACGUUCGCGUCGUUCCAUCGGAUCGAGCAGCGUUGAGAGAUGAGAGACGUUAUCGAUGUUCCUGAUAUGCGAAGCGACCAUCCUGACGCCAGCAACGAGUAAUCAGGAAAAAUUUUUCACGCGAUACCCCUAUUCACGUCGAUAUAAAUUUCACUUUUAUAUUUGUGCUUCAAUCUCUCUCUUUCUACCGCGCGGGAGAAAGGAUCCACUUCCGAUUUCUCGCUUUUGACGUCACAAUUUAGUACAAUAGCGAUAUGAUCGGGGGGAGUCUUAAUUUUUAUUCCCUUCCGGUUCUUUCCCCUUUUUUUCCUCCCCCCCCCCCUUCCUCUUCAUCAAUAUAUCUUGCAGAAUUCCCCACGUAACCGUGCGGAAUUCUUGAUGGUUCGUGAAAUGCGACUGGAAUGCUACGAAGAAAUGUAAAACGAAGAGGAAUAAUGAUAAAUGGCUGGGUUAUUAUUAGGUGCCUGCGAGAGCGAGCUUUCGUUAAGUACAAGCCGACUGAAUUAUUCUCAGGAGAGGCACAACGGAAAAGUAGAUUUUGCCAGACAAGGGACAGACUGAAAAUUGUUUCUCGAGGCUCGUCCAAAUUAUCUCAGACGAAAAUAAAACCUCUUUUUAGAGUAACUGCACCUUCGUCUAAUAUUUUUUUUUUCUCUUACUUGUUUAUAAAACAUACUUCAUUCUAAAUAAAAAUUGAAUAUCCUAACUUGAGAGAGCACGGCCCUUCAAGUCUUAUACAAAACUUACUACGCAAAUUAGUCGAAUGCGAUCCGUGGAGGAUAAAACAACGGCGAAACUAUCAAACAACGCUUACGAAUAUUUCGUACAUAAUAUGCGAUAAAGUAAUCGUCGUAUACUAUUUUUAGUCCCAGAUGCGGCAACAGAUGCGACAAACUAAAGGCGCCGUGUCUUCACGUAUCAUCCGAUAAGAUCGAGAAAAACCAUUGCACGCUUACACUAGUGGCUUGUUCGGAGAACGCGGCGUCCGUACGCUUUUUCUUUUCGUAUACGCCGACGAUACAAGAUUUAACGGGACGGCGAAGUUCGUAUCCUUCCUAGAUCUAGCAAACUCUCCGAGUACUCUCCGAGAACUUGAUCUUCGGCGCGUGCGGGAUUCGCUAUCAUCGAGCCGACGCAUGUAGAGUAAGUUAAGAGGACGGAUAGUGGCGGUGCGCGUUGACGCGCGGACCGAGUGCGUGCAGCUGCUUAUUUCGAAAGUGACGUAAAACCGAAUCCGUUAAAACGCGCGCUAUCGCGAACUCUUUGUUUCCUCCUCGUUCUUCCUCGUUUCGGAUCUGCUGGG
rnacentral:misc_RNA from 1 species